ensembl:lncRNA
CACAGCCUUGAGGCUGUUGUUUCUGUUUCUUUUUACUCAGUCUGAGUUUACAGGCUUCAUCAAAUGAAAAACAGAACCAGGACCACCAUGCAGCGCUGUGUCUGUGGGAGGCUUUAAAAGAAGUCCAGGUGUCACAAAGAAGACAGAGCAACAUUGGUUUAGGAAAAGUGGGUAAGUGCACAAAACAGAUUCAUCACUUCGUCUGUCAAAAUGUUUGGCCUUGAUUCUGGGGUCUUUUUUUUGGACUAGAUCAUCUUUGCCUCAUCAGCCAGGCCAUUUUCUACAGGACGACGGAUCCCGAAGCCCCUGGCAGCCCAACGUUGCCAUCAUCUCCGUAACUGGCAGCUAUAUUGUCCACAGUAGCAGCUGCGACUCGCCUCGGGGACGAAGCUCUUGUCUCACCGCACAUGGUAACGUCUACAAACCCUGCAUGACAAGUGCUUUCUCCGUGCUACGAUGGCGAGAACAGAGGUGCCAGAUCAGUUUCCAUGACUCCCCUGCAGAAUGCCAGCGAUGAGCUGCAGUGAACAUGACAGUGUGGUGGGUUUGGUCUGUUAUUAUUGUGACUUCCUGUGGCUAACCACCAUGCUGCGGGUGUGCACACACACACACACACACACACAAACCAUCAGACACCUGAGAUGUUCUCGGAGUCCUGACGACUGAUAUAACAAAACCUGACAAAGCUUUUUCCUUUGAAAGUGUCCAUGGGAGAAUGUUUAAGCAGGCAGAACGCUAACUUAUAUUCACCACCUAUGUUACCUUCCCAAGAAGCAACUAAUGCUACAAUAUCAAUAUAAACUUACUAUUAGUUAAAUGAAAUCUCACCAAGUUUUUAAAUGAUUACAAAAACAAUAUCAACUAUAUAUUUGCGAGAAUAUUUUGUCUAGCUAUUAUUUACUUCUAUUUCCCUAAUAUUUAUUAGGAAAGAAAACAAUCCUGUUUCUGUAUUGUAUUAAGUGCAUGUGUCUGAUGUUGAGUUUUUCACUUUAUUAGCUAAGAAAUAAGAACUAUAUAGAAUAAUACACAACAAAAAGAAGGGAAAUAAAAAAUACUUUAAAACAACA